rnacentral:rRNA from 1 species
GCGUAUAUUAAAGUUGUUGCAGUUAAAAAGCUCGUAGUUGAAUUUCGGGGUCAGCAGGUUGGUCGUGCCACUGGUAUGAACUGGUUUCGCUGAUUCCUCCUUUCUGAAGAACUGUAAUGUCAUUAAUUUGGUGUUGCAGGGGAACAGGACUGUUACUUUGAAAAAAUUAGAGUGUUUAAAGCAGGCUAACGCUUGAAUACAUUAGCAUGGAAUAAUGAAAUAGGACGUUCAAACCUAUUUUGUUGGUUUCUAGGAUUGACGUAAUGAUUAAUAGGGAUAGUUGGGGGCAUUAGUAUUCAAUUGUCAGAGGUGAAAUUCUUGGAUUUAUUGAAGACUAACUACUGCGAAAGCAUUUGCCAAGGAUGUUUUCAUUAAUCAAGAACGAAAGUUAGGGGAUCGAAGACGAUCAGAUACCGUCGUAGUCUUAACCAUAAA